rnacentral:rRNA from 1 species
CGGGUAGCGGAACACGUACGCAACCUUCCUUUAACUGGAGGAUAGCCCCUCGAAAGAGGGAUUAAUACUCCGUAACAUAAUGAUAAGGCAUCUUAUUAUUAUUAUAGCUCCGGCGGUUAAAGAUGGGCGUGCGACUGAUUAGAUAGUUGGCGGGGUAACGGCCCACCAAGUCAGCGAUCAGUAACUGGUGUGAGAGCACGACCAGUCACACGGGCACUGAGACACGGGCCCG